UUGCAAUGAUGACUCUUAGGACACCUUUGGAUCAGCCGUGAAAAUAAUUUGUGUAUUCUGAGCUAU